rnacentral:rRNA from 1 species
UACGUAGGCAGCGAGCGUUGUUCGGAAUUACUGGGCGUAAAGAGUGUGUAGGCGGCGCUCUAAGUUCGGUGUGAAAUCUCUCGGCUUAACUGGGAGGGUGCGCCGGAAACUGGAGUGCUCGAACGUGGGAGAGGAAAGCGGAAUUCCUGGUGUAGCGGUGAAAUGCGUAGAUAUCAGGAGGAACACCUGCGGUGUAGACGGCUUUCUGGACCAUUGUUGACGCUGAGACACGAAGGCGUGGGGAGCGAACGGG